UCCUGGUUAACCCAGGCAGUCUCAUUAGAGUUCCCACCCGAAGUGUUGGCAACUAAUGAUAAGGGUUGCGCUCGUUGCUGGACUUAACCAAACACCUCACGGCACGAGCUGACGACAGCCAUGCAGCACCUGUGCAGCGGCCCCGAAGGGAGACAGCGUUUCCGCUGUUGUCCACUGCAUGUCAAGCCUGGGUAAGGUUCUUCGCGUUGCAUCGAAUUAAACCACAUGCUCCACUGCUUGUGCGGGUCCCCGUCAAUUCUUUUGAGUUUCACCCUUGCGAGCGUACUCCCCAGGCGGUAUACUUAACGCGUUAGCUUCGGCACAACCGGGGUUGAGUCCAGUUACACCAAGUAUACAUAGUUUACAGCUAGGACUAC
rnacentral:misc_RNA from 1 species